GCCGGCAGCUAGCUCUUUAUAAAUCUUACAUGGUCGCCCACUGAAGCUAAGCAAGGUUGCGCCCAGUCAGUACCUGGAAGGGAGAUCACAUGGGAAAGCUAGGUUGCUGAUGGAA
rfam:Danio rerio chromosome 14, GRCz11 reference primary assembly.